AGAUGUGAGGGCAAUCUGGCUGCGACAUCUGUCACCCCAUUGAUCGCCAGGGUUGAUUCGGCUGAUCUGGCUGGCUAAGCGGGUGUCCCCUUCCUCCCUCACCACUCCAUGUGCAUCCCUCCCAAAGCUGUGCGCUCGGUCGAAGAGGACGACCUUCCCCGAUAGAGGAGGACCGUUCUUCGGUCAAGGGUAUAUGAGUAGCUGCACUCCCCUGCUAGAACCUCCAAACAAGCUCUCAAGGUCCAUUUGUAGGAGAACAUAGGGCAGUCAAGCUUCCAAGACUCCAGACACAUCCAAAUGAGGCGCUGCACGUGGCAGUCUGCCUUUCUUU
rnacentral:snRNA from 1 species